rnacentral:lncRNA from 1 species
AUGCGGUACUCUAUCGGAUCACCUUAAUGGUGCUGGUACAUUGGCUUCGAAUCUAAUCUAAUCAAAUUCAACUCAGGUUCAGCUAUUAGUGUCGGUCCUUCUACCUGUUGAACUUCAUCAAGUUUAACCUUAGAGACAAUGGUUCCUUCACCAAGGAACUCUUUUUCUAAAAAAGUUGCCUUAAGGCUGACGAACACAUUUUGAUCAUUAGCAUGGUAGAAAAAAUAUCUUUUGAUCUCUUUGGGGUAUCCUAUGAAUGUGCAUGUGUCAGACCUAGGUCUAAGUUUACCGUAACUAACCGUUUGACAUAGACCGGACACCCCC